rnacentral:lncRNA from 1 species
CAGGGGAUCUCUGCUGUUACGUGACACUUCCUACGGCACCCAUGGGCUCUCAGAAGGCGGCAAAAAGCUGAAUCGUGGCUUUGCAGGCCCUGGUUGAAAAACAUCAGCGCGUUUGGAUAGUGGCCGGUCACAGUACUAUGAGACUCAGGCUCGUGCACGAGGGGAUCCCAUGCUUUUAUUUUCUCUCUCUUUGUAUGUAAACACGCAUUCCCGGUCGGAACAUUAUCGCUUUUUUACGAGAAAAAUGGCAUAAAAAUGUAUUUUAAACAGCGGUUGACAUGCUUCGAAGUACGGUAAUGGAAUAUUUACAAAUUUUUUGUCACGAAAUGCGUCGUGCGCAUGACCCUUAUUUACACUUCGGAUAGUGUCUUGAACGCACGAAAAAAACGCCGCUAUUUGGAUAUAACUAUGGAUUAUUUUGAAGCAAACCAACAUUUGUUAUUGAAGUAGCAGUCCUGGGAGUGCAUUCUGACGAAGAACACCAAAGCGAGAGAACAGACACAGAGCUGGUGAAAAGAGGUGUAAUGUCACGCUUGUCGUUGGAAAUUGAGGACCAAAACGCAGCAGAAUUGACAGAAGACCCAAUGGUGGUGUCCGUGGCCUCGUGCUGAUCGACCAGAAAGAGUGGGAAGUGGUAUAAAUGGUGAGGGCCAAGAGUGACAUAUGGCUGUCCAAAAUAAAGCAGGCCAUUGAGGAGAACGAUGACACCUUUGCCAACGUGGCAUCCAUCGGCAUACCAACAAUCGCCCACCUUUUGAAGAGGCACCAGGUACUGUAUCUAUGAAACACAUUUACCUGUUGCCUUUUGAGAGAAACAACGACUGGGUGAAACAACUGUGGGCCAAGUAUGUUCAGCGGGCUUCAACCUGGUCAAAACUCGACGCCAUGGGCGGAACCUCGUCGGCCAACGGACGACCAUCCAAGUGUCUGGACAACAUGGGUGUAAUAUCUCCAUCUGCGCAGCUAUCGCUGAAGAUGGUAUGGUAGGACGUUGAAGGUGUACGUUCGCCAUUCCCAUGAGCGUGCCACCCUUCUGGCCAUGGAUGAGGCAUGUGACAACAUCAAUGAAGACCAAUGUCAAGCUCGGAUUCACCAAAAUAUUUUUCCAGCAGUACAUGAACAAUGAGGACAUUCACUGUGAUGUGGAUGAGAAUGUAUGGCCAAAUGCUCAAGACAGGCUUGAUGAAAGUUAAUGCGUGAUAAACAGUAGGUUUUAUUUUCAUUCAUUACAUUUAUUUCAUUUAAUUUCUUACAUUUGAAUACAGACAGUACACCUACUUUAUGUUGCAAUUCUAUCUGAAAAAAAAUCUCUAUAUAUUUGCAUGAAUGAUUGUAGAGAAUGUCUUCAUUGAGCACACCUUUGACUACACAUUGGAUAGAUAUUAUGGAAAUUAUAGAUUUUCUGUCAAUUUUGUUGGAUAAUGUAAGUGUAUUGCCUAAUGUGAAAACUGUGUAAUCUACUGCAAUUUACAGUACUGUUGCAUAUUACUUUCAGAACUUCUAAGGGCGAUUUGAAACACGUGUCUUGCAUCGUUUGCUAUUGC